AAUAAUAGAAGUCUAUUUAAGGAAAAAGUCCAGUGACACACAAUUUUAAAGAAUAAGGAAAUGGAAUCAAUCAAAAACCAAAAUUGCAGGAUUUGCUCGAAUGAACCAAGUCAUGAAAAGUGAGGAGAGGGUUUUACUUGAGCAAAAUCAAUGACAAUCAACCCAAAUACAAAGAGAUUAUGAAUCAAAUCAUGAAUUGGAAAACCCUUUUUUGAAAAAUAAUUCCUCAUGUAUAAAGCACACAUGCAUGUCA
rnacentral:lncRNA from 1 species